AUGGAGUGCCCGACCCGGAUUGGACUUGCCGGCCAUAAGAAGGAAGGAUCCUCCACCGCUUGCCUUCCUUGCGCCUCCGGCGUUCUCGCGUCGCGGCUCGACCUGGCCCUUGCCCUGUCUCUCGCCAUCGGCUCCCAGGUCAGAGACCUCGCCUCGGUCCUCCUUCUUAGCGCCUGGGUCGCCAGCCACGCUCAGCCCCCUCCUUGGCUUCGAUCUGAUGGCCCUUCCCCAACCUCCUCGACCUCGACAGAUCCGGGAGGCCGCUGCUCGGUCAGGAAGGGAGUGGGUGUCAGAAGAGGGACGUUGGUGGUGUUCGAGAUGUAUCGGUGGUCAGCUGUUGGCAGGGCCCUCAUGGAGACACUGGACAAGAUGGUGCUCAGUGGUGUGCUCAGCCCCAAGCUCGCCUUAAGCAUCCUCCUGCAGUCCGUCCAUGAGAGGUUGGAGCACCAGGUCUAG
rnacentral:rRNA from 1 species